UCGGGAAAUUUGGGCAAUGGGCGAAAGCCUGACCCAGCAACGCCGCGUGAAGGAUGAAAUCCCUCGGGAUGUAAACUUCGCAAGAACAGGAAGAAUAAGUAAGGGUUAAUUUCUCUUAUGAUGACGGUACUGUUUGUAAGCUCCGGCUAACUCCGUGCCAGCAGCCGCGGUAAUACGGGGGGAGCAAGCGUUGUUCGGAUUUACUGGGCGUAAAGGGCGCGUAGGCGGCCACCGCAAGUCGACUGUGAAAUCUCCGGGCUUAACCCGGAAAGGUCAGCCGAUACUGCGGGGCUAGAGUGCAGAAGGGGCAACUGGAAUUCUCGGUGUAGCGGUGAAAUGCGUAGAUAUCGAGAGGAACACCUGCGGCGGAGGCGGGUUGCUGGGCUGACACUGACGCUGAGGCGCGAAAGCUAGGGGAGCGAACGGGAUUAGAUACCCCGGUAGUCCUAGCCUUAAACGAUGAAUGCUUGGUGUCUGGGGUUUUAUAGGUCCCCGGGUGCCGUCGCUAACGCUUUAAGCAUU
rnacentral:rRNA from 1 species